CUUGGUUAAUCCUUCCAGUAGUCAUAUGCUUGUCUCAAAGAUUAAUCCAUGCAUUUGUAAGUAUGAACAAAUUCAGACUGUGAAACUGUGAAUGGCACAUUAAAUCAUUUAUAGUUUGUUUGAUGGUAUCUACUACUCGGACAACCGUAGUAAUUCUAUAUCUAAUAUGUGUAACAAACCCUGACUUCUAGAAGGGAUGCAUUUAUUAGAUAAAAUGUUGACGCAGGCUCUGCCCAUUACUGUGAUGAUUCAUGAUAACUUGACGGAUCGUACAGCCAUCAUGCCUACCAUGGUGGUAAUGGGUGAUGAAGAAUUAGAGUUUGAUUUCAGAGAGAGAUCUUGAGAAAUAGCUACCAUAGCAAGGAAGGCAGUAGGCAUAUAAAUUUUCUAAUCCUGACAUGGGGAGGUAGUAACAAUAAAUAAUAAUACCAGGAUCAAUGAGUCUGGUAAUUGGAAUGAGUACAAUCUAAUCCCUUAACGAGGAUCCAUUGGAGGGAGAGUCUGGUGCCAGCAGCCACGGUAAUUCCAGCUCCAAUAGCGUAUAUUUAAGUUGGUGUAGUUAAAAAGCUCAAAGUUUGACUUUGGGAUUGGCCGGCCGGUCCACCUAUGGUGUGCAUUGGUCGUCUCAUCCCUUCUGUCGGCGAUGCGCUCCUGGCCUUAACUGGCCAAGUCGUGCAUCCGACAAUGUUAAUUUGAAGAAAUUAAAGUGCUUAAAGCAAGCCUACGCUCUAUAUACAUUAGCGUGGGAUAACAUUAUAGGAUUUCGGUCCUAUUACGUUGGCCUUCGGAAUCGGAGUAAUGACUAACAGGGAUAGUCGGGGGCAUUUGUAUUUCAUAGUCAGAGGUGAAAUUAUUGGAUUUAUGAAAUACGAAAAACUACGAAAGUAUUUUCCAAGGAUGUUUACAUUAAUCAAGAACGAAAGUUGGUGGCUCGAAGGCGAUCAAAUACCAUCCUAGUCUCAAUUAUAAACGAUGCCGACCAAGGAUCGGAGGAUGUUGCUUUUAGGAAUCCGCCGGAACCUUAUGAGAAAUCAAAGUUUUUGGGUUCCGAGGGGAGUAUGGUCACAAGCCUGAAACUUAAAAGAAUUGACGGAAGGGCACCACCAAGAGUGGAGCCUGUGGCUUAAUUUGACUCAACACGAGGAAACAUACCAGGUCCAGACAUAGUAAGAAUUGACAGAAUGAGAGCUCUUUGUUGAUUCCAUGGGUGGUGGUUAAUGGCCGUUCUUAGUUGGUGAAGCAAUUUUUCUGGUUAAUUUUGUUCAUAAACGUAACCACAACCUACUAACUAUCUAUGCGGAGGUAUCCCUUUGCGGCCAUCUUCUUAGAGGGACUAUGGCCUUUUAGACCACGAAAGUUUGAGGAAAUAACAAGUCUGUGAUGCACUUAGAUGUUCUGGGCCUCACGCACACUACACUGAUGUAUUCAAUGAGUUUAUAGCCUUUUCUGACAGUCCCGGGUAAUCUUUGAAAUUUCAUAGUGAUGGAGAUAGAUCAUUGCAAUUGUUAGUCUUCAACGAGGAAUUCCUAGUAAGCGCGAGUCAUCAGCUCUUGUUGACUAUGUCCCUGCCCUGUGUACACACCGUCCGUCGCUCCUACUGAUUUAAUGAUCUGGUGAAAUACUCGGAUCGCGGCGAUGUAGGCGGUUCGCUGCCUGUGACAUUGCGAGAAGUCUAUUGUCGAAACCUGCACAGCAGAACGACCCGCGAAUAUUUUUAAC
rnacentral:rRNA from 1 species